GAUGAACGCUGGCGGCGUGCCUAAUACAUGCAAGUCGAGCGAACGGACGAGAAGCUUGCUUCUCUGAUGUUAGCGGCGGACGGGUGAGUAACACGUGGAUAACCUACCUAUAAGACUGGGAUAACUUCGGGAAACCGGCGCUAAUACCGGAUGAUAUUUUGAACCGCAUGGUUCAAAAGUGAAAGACGGUCUUGCUGUCACUUAUAGAUGGAUCCGCGCUGCAUUAGCUAGUUGGUAAGGUAACGGCUUACCAAGGCAACGAUGCAUAGCCGACCUGAGAGGGUGAUCGGCCACACUGGAACUGAGACACGGUCCAGACUCCUACGGGAGGCAGCAGUAGGGAAUCUGCCGCAAUGGGCGAAAGCCUGACGGAGCAACGCCGCGUGAGUGAUGAAGGUCUUCGGAUCGUAAAACUCUGUUAUUAGGGAAGAACAUAUGUGUAAGUAACUGUGCACAUCUUGACGGUACCUAGUCAGAAAGCCACGGCUAACUACGUG
rnacentral:rRNA from 1 species